AGUGAACGCUGGCGGCGUGCUUAACACAUGCAAGUCGAACGAGAACGGGUUAUAGCUUGCUAUAAUUGUCAGCUAAGUGGCGCACGGGUGAGUAAUGUAUAGGUAAUAAGCCUCUUACUAAGGGAUAACAAAUGGAAACGUUUGCUAAUACCUUAUACUCCUUAUUAACAGAAGUUAAUAAGGGAAAGAUUUAUUGGUAAGAGAUUAGCCUGUAUUGUAUCAGUUAGUUGGUGGGGUAAUGGCCUACCAAGACUAUGACACAUAACUGGUAUUGUGAGAAUGAUCGGGCACCCGGGAACUGAGACACGGGGCGGACUCCUACGGGAGGCAGCAGUGGUGAAUAUUGCAUAAUGGACGAAAGUCUGAUGCAUCACCGCCGCGUGGAGGAUGACACAUUUCGGUGCGUAAACUCCUUUUAUAUGUGAAGAUACUGACGGUAUUAUAUGAAUAAGCGCCGGCUAACUCCGUGCCAGCCGCCGCCGUAA
rnacentral:rRNA from 1 species